AUCGUGCGUCAGAGUGAGCCCGGAUGGGGCGGCGGGCUUCGGGAGCGCCCGGGCUGAUCCGAGCCGAGCGGGCCGUAUCUCCUUGUCGGCGCCGCUGAUUCCCGGCUCUGCGGAGGCCUCUAGGCAGCCGCGCAGCUUCCGUGUUUGCUGCGCCCGCACUGCGAUUUACAACCCUGAAGAAUCUCCCUAUCCCUAUUUUGUCCCCCUGCAGUAAUAAAUCCCAUUAUGGAGAUCUCGAAACUUUAUAAAGGGAUAUAGUUUGAAUUCUAUGGAGUGUAAUUUUGUAGCAGUUGAAGACAUCUCUUCAUCGAGGACUAACCCCUACAGUUAUGCAAUGAGUACUGAAGAAGCCAGAUUUCUUACCUACCAUAUGUGGCCAUUAACUUUUUUGUCACCAUCAGAAUUGGCAAGAGCUGGUUUUUAUUAUAUAGGACCUGGAGAUAGGGUAGCCUGCUUUGCCUGUGGUGGGAAGCUCAGUAACUGGGAACCAAAGGAUGAUGCUAUG
rnacentral:lncRNA from 1 species